ensembl:lncRNA
AUCGGUUUGACACCUUCGCCUCUCGUGAUGGCAGUUGGCGCUCCGCCAAACGCCUUCCUCUUUGUCACUCUGUCUGGACAAAACAGGAUGCACUCUUCUUGACCCCCUAUCUCUCUACAUGUCCACGUUAUUGAUCCUCGAUGCUGCCCCUGACUGCAGCCCGCAGACGGAGCCCACAUGGAGGGGGCGGGCACUCAGUCCACAUGGAGGGGGCUGGCACUCCGCCCACAUGGAGGGGGCGGGCACUCAGUCCACAUGGAGGGGGCGGCCACUCAGUUCACAUUGAGGACUGGUCAAACAGCAUUUCUGAUCCCGUUUCUGACCUGAAAUUAGCUGAAAUGUACCUGAAAUUACCUGAAAUUAGAGUGUGCCCGCCCGAGCGAGUGAUGCCUAAAACAUGCAAACAAAACUGAAGACCAGGAACUGGAACCUGGGAACCUGGAAGAUGAUGUUGUCCUGAAGGACACAAUUCAGGCAGCAGCAUGGUGCCAGUUACAGUCCUUCAAGGACAGCGUUUCUCUCCCAGAGGUCAUUGGGAUGGAAGGUUGGGAGCAGAUGGCAGCAUCAACACAGCGCAAAUCCCAUGACGGCGGGGAUGAGGAAGAAACGUGGAAACCAUUCCAAUUCUCAUUCAGAUUACAUACUGACUAUGAACUGUUCUGUGUGGAGAUGAUGGACAGGAGAAACCUGAAGGUGUUUGCCUCUUUUGAGUCAAACACCUCUCCCCCUCC